rnacentral:rRNA from 1 species
GCUAAACGCGAAGAACCUUACCUAGGCUUGACAUGCAUCUCUAAGCACGUGAAAGCGUGUGACCCUUCGGGGAAUUUGCACAGGUGCUGCAUGGCCGUCGUCAGCUCGUGUCGUGAGAUGUUGGGUUAAGUCCCGCAACGAGCGCAACCCUUGUGACUAGUUGCCAGCACGUCAUGGUGGGAACUCUAGUCAGACUGCCCAGAUCAACUGGGAGGAAGGUGGGGACGACGUCAGGUCAGUAUGGCCCUUACGCCUAGGGCUGCACACGUACUACAAUGCCCAGCACAAUGAGAACCGAGACCGCGAGGUGGAGGAAAUCUAAAAAACUGGGCCCAGUUCGGAUUGGAGGCUGCAACUCGCCUCCAUGAAGUUGGAAUCGCUAGUAAUAGCGCAUCAUCUACGGCGCCGUGAAUACGUUCCCGGGUCUUGUACACACCG